UUUGUGACGUCAGUACUUGAGUUAUAUUGCACCAGUGUUGACGAGGAGCUCACAGGUUCGAUUCAUUAAAGCCUGAAUGAGUCUGUGGACGAGCUGCAGACUCUGAUCAGCUUCAGCUGCCGCGUCUAAUUUCAGCACCACUGCUUUUUAUAACCUCGACCAAACUUAGAAAGACGACACCUCCUGCACCUCCUGCACCUCCUGCACCUCCUGCCUCAGACAGGCCCGUCGCCUGCAGCCACCUGUGCUCCACCGUUACCAGGUUGUCACGGCAACUGCACCCGUCAAAGCUCGAGAGAAGUGGAGCAAAAACGAUGCUAAUUAAUUUCCCUCCUCUUGCUCAGGCAGAGCUGUGAUCCUGAGCCACGCCAUCACUGUGUCGCUGCAGCAGCACCGACGCCAAAGAAACAUAAUUCUGAUUUAUUUCAGCACUUAAGAGAGGGAGAGGCAGAGAGGACGCGGUAGAGACGCCACUCCAGAGCGAUGGCGUUCAGCUCCAUCUGUUUGUUAUGCAUUAGCUGAGCACAAUUGAGCUCUUCAAGCAAUCUGUUGGACAGACGAGGCCUCGGGUGAUUCCAGUGCUGAUCCACGGCUCCAUUAACACUGUUUCACCUCCUCCUCCAGAGUGCGAACACUUCUUCUUCUUCUUCUUCUUCUUCUUCUUCUUCUUCUUCUUCUUCUUCUUCUUCUUCUUCUUCUUCUUCUUCUUCUUCUUCUUCUUCUUCUUCUUCUUCUUCUUUUUCAGUAUCCUGCAGAUGUUUCCUGAGGAGUCUGUGUUUCUCUGAGAUUGACUUGUUAAAUCUGCUCCGUCAGCAGUGUAACACAAGCUUUCACAGGUAGGAUUUGCAUUUUAUUACACAGAGCAGAAAGUGUUUGGAGCUGAACUGGAUCCGGGACUCGUUCAUUCUUCUCCGUGUUUUGAAUUUGUCUUGAUUCAUCUGCAGAGGAUCCAAACUCUCCAGCUACAAGACCACAGAAGAAGAAGAAGAAGAAGAAGAAGAAGACAAAAAGGUGCAGAGGAGAAGGGACGGAGGGAGUUUGGAAAACAAGCUUCAUCUCUCUGACGAUGCAAACGCAGGAACACACACUCACCUGGGGAACAAAAUGAGUCAUCAAGCUGCGAGAGAAGGAGUGUUUUCUUUGACAAAGUGACAAAUCCAGCUUUUGAAAGAAGUGACGCCCUCCGUUAGGGAGAACGAGCGCUGACACGAUGGCAGAGGAAGUGGAAUAAUAAUGAAGACGUGAGCCGAUCUCACAUCUGGGCUCUCACAGCUGUAAUGAUAUUAAACCCUGUUUCUUUAAAUGAGAGAGAAGUCAUCCGUCACCUUCACUGACCUCCAUCAGCCACGAGUCAGAGCUGCCACAGUACCACUGAUGGGUUUUAUACCUGCCAAUAGUUAUUCAUUAAUUACUAUUUCUUCAUGUCGAAUUUUGUAGGUUUCUUCUUGGAGAAAGUUCCCAGUCUCCUUUAAAAAAUCAUGUAAUUUAGCAAGUUGUCGAUUAAGAGACACUUUAUGAACUCUGCGAAACACUGCCUCUGAUAAAUACUUCAUCAUCGGGGCCUUCUUGUAAAUUCGGCAUUAAAUGUUACACCAUCAGUUGUUCUUGUCUUUGUAAAAGGUGUCAGUUUGUCUACAGCUUGUUGUACAUGCCAACAUUCAGCAGCUGUUUGAACACACUGCUUCAUGUGAUUUACACUCAGUUUUUAAAAG